GUCGAACGCUGGCGGCGUGCCUAACACAUGCAAGUCGAACGGAAAGGCCUGCUUUCCCGCGUGGAUUGCGGGUACUCGAGUGGCGAACGGGUGUGUAACACGUGAGUGAUCUGCCCCCAACUUGGGUAUAAGCAUGGGAAACUGGGUCUAAUUCACGUUAGGACUGCAGGGUGGUGCCUGUGGUGGAAAACGACCUUCUAGUGGGUGGGGAUGAGCUCGCGGCGUAUCAGCUUGUGGGUGGGGUAAUGGCGGACCAAGGCGGCGACGGGUAGCCGGGGUGAGAGCAUGGACAGCCGCAUCGAGACUGAGAUAAGGCCCAUACGCCGACGGGAGGCAGCAGUGAGGGAUAUUGGAGAAUGAGCGGAAGCCUGAUGCAGCGACGCUGCGUAGGGGAUGACGGCCUUGGGGUGGUAAACUCCUGUCGACCGCGGGAAAACCACUAAGUUGGAAGGGUGGUGACGGUAGUGGUAGAAGAAGCACCGGCUAACUACGUG
rnacentral:rRNA from 1 species